rnacentral:rRNA from 1 species
UACAGAGGGGGCAAGCGUUGUUCGGAAUUACUGGGCGUAAAGGGCGCGUAGGCGGCCUUCUAAGUCGAACGUGAAAUCCCUGGGCUCAACCCAGGAACUGCGUCCGAGACUGGUGGGCUCGAAUCCGGGAGAGGGAUGUGGAAUUCCAGGUGUAGCGGUGAAAUGCGUAGAUAUCUGGAGGAAUACCGGUGGCGAAGGCGGCAUCCUGGACCGGCAUUGACGCUGAGGAGCGAAAGCCAGGGGAGCAAACGGG